GAUGAACGCUGGCGGUGUGCCUAAUACAUGCAAGUCGAGCGAACAGAUAAGGAGCUUGCUCUUUUGACGUUAGCGGCGGACGGGCGAGUAACACGUGGAUAACCUACCUAUAAGACUGGGAUAAUUUCGGGAAACCGGUGACAAUACUGGAUAAUAUAUCGUACCGCAUGGUUCAAUAGUGAUAGGCGGCUUUGCUGUUACUUAUAGAUGGAUCCGCGCCGGAUUAGCUAGUUGGUAAGGUAACGGCUUACCAAGGCAACGAUACGUAGCCGACCUGAGAGGGUGAUCAGCCACACUGGAACUGAGACACGGUCCAGACUCCUACGGGAGGCAGCAGUGGGGAAUCUUCCGCAAUGGGCGAAAGCCUGACGGAGCAACACCGCGUGAGUGAAGAAGGUCUUCGGGUCGUAAAGCUCUGUUAUCGGGAAAGAACAGAAGUGUAAGUAUCUGUGCACAUCUUGACGGUACCUAAUCAAAAAGCCACGGCUAACUACGUG
rnacentral:rRNA from 1 species